rnacentral:rRNA from 1 species
AGCGAACGCUGGCGGCAGGCCUAACACAUGCAAGUCGAGCGCCCCGCAAGGGGAGCGGCAGACGGGAGAGUAACACGUGGGAACGUACCCUUUGGUUCGGAACAACCCAGGGAAACUUGGGCUAAUACCGGAUAAGCCCUUACGGGGAAAGAUUCAUCGCCGAAGGAUCGGCCCGCGUCUGAUUAGCUAGUUGGUGGGGUAACGGCCCACCAAGGCGACGAUCAGUAGCUGGUCUGAGAGGAUGAUCAGCCUCACUGGGACUGAGACACGGCCCAGACGCCUACGGGAGGCAGCAGUGGGGAAUAUUGGACAAUGGGCGCAAGCCUGAUCCAGCCAUGCCGCGUGGGUGAUGAAGGCCCUAGGGUUGUAAAGCCCUUUCGGCGGGGAAGAUAAUGACGGUACCCGCAGAAGAAGCCCCGGCUAACUUCGUGCCAGCAGCCGCCGCGG